UACGAGGGGGGCGAGCGUUGUCCGGAAUCAUUGGGCGUAAAGAGCGUGUAGGCGGCCACUUAAGUCCUGCGUGAAAUCUUGCGGCUCAACCGCAAGCGGUCGUGGGAAACUGGGUGGCUAGAGUGCGGGAGAGGAGAGUGGAAUUCCUGGUGUAGCGGUGAAAUGCGCAGAUAUCAGGAGGAACACCGGUGGCGAAGGCGGGUCUCUGGGCCGAUACUGACACUGAGGAGCGAAAGCGUGGGGAGCGAACAGG
rnacentral:rRNA from 1 species